CAAUAGCGUAUAUUAAAGUUGUUGCAGUUAAAAAGCUCGUAGUUGGAUGUCUGGCUCUCGCAGGAGCUGUCUGCCGAAAGGUAGCACGGCUCGGCGGGGCCAUCCUCUCGAGGACGGGGUGUGCCUUUAACUAGGUGUGCCUUUGGACUCGGGACCUUUACUUUGAAAAAAUUAGAGUGUUCAAAGCAGGCCUACGCUUGAAUACAUUAGCAUGGAAUAAUGGAAUAGGACUUCGGUUUCUAUUUUGUUGGUUUCUAGAACUGAGGUAAUGAUUAAUAGGGAUAGUUGGGGGCAUUAGUAUUUAAUUGUCAGAGGUGAAAUUCUUGGAUUUAUUAAAGACUAACAUCUGCGAAANCANNNGCCAAGGAUGUUUUCAUNAA
rnacentral:rRNA from 1 species